rnacentral:rRNA from 1 species
ACCCAGCCAUGCCGCGUGAGUGAAGAAGGUUUUCGAAUUGUAAAGCUCUUUCGGAUGUGACGAUGAUGACGGUAGCAUCUAAAGAAGCCCCGGCAAACUUCGUGCCAGCAGCCGCGGUAAUACGAAGGGGGCGAGCGUUGUUCGGAAUUACUGGGCGUAAAGGGUGUGUAGGUGGACGUGUAAGAUAGCGGUGAAAUGCCGGAGCUCAACUUCGGAAUUGCCAUUAUAACUAUGCGUCUAGAAUUAUAGAGAGGAUAGCGGAAUACCCAGUGUAGAGGUGAAAUUCGUAGAUAUUGGGUAGAACACCAGUGGCGAAGGCGGCUAUCUGGCUAUAUAUUGACACUGAGGC